rnacentral:rRNA from 1 species
GACGAACGCUGGCGGCGUGCUUAACACAUGCAAGUCGAACGGAAAGGCCCUGCUUGCGGGGUGCUCGAGUGGCGAACGGGUGAGUAACACGUGGGUGAUCUGCCCCUUACUUUGGGAUAAGCCUGGGAAACUGGGUCUAAUACUGGAUAGGACCAUGCUGUAGGUGGUGUGGUGGAAAGAUUAGUUUCGGUUAGGGAUGAGCUCGCGGCCUAUCAGCUUGUUGGUGGGGUAAUGGCCUACCAAGGCGUCGACGGGUAGCCGGCCGGAGAGGGUGGACGGCCACAUUGGGACUGAGAUACGGCCGAGACUCCUACGGGAGGCAGCAGUGGGGAAUAUUGCACAAUGGGCGCAAGCCUGAUGCAGCGACGCCGCGUGGGGGAUGACGGCCUUCGGGUUGUAAACGCCUUUCAGCCAUGACGAAGCCCUUGUGGUGACGGUAGUGGUAGAAGAAGCACCGGCUAACUACGUG